rnacentral:lncRNA from 1 species
UAUUAGUUAUCUUGGUGUAAUAAGGGGUGUACAGAAUUUUACACCGUUGUUGGAAAUUCAUACACCCUGAGGCGCAGCCGAAUGGGUGUAUGAAUUUUCAACAACGGUGUAAAAUUCCGUACACCCCUUAUUACACCAAGAUAACGAAUUUAUUUCUUAUGAACAAUUCCUUUACUCAUUUUUAAACUAGGAUGUACAAUUGAAAAUGGUAAAUAAAAUUUCAAGUGUAACAUUUUUUCAACGUCGAUGCUGCUUCGCAUUGUCAAAAACUUUUUUCUGUAUUUUGGGGAAAGUUCAGAAAAAUUUUGUGUUCUUUGAAUUUUCAAGAAUUUUUUUAUUUAUUUUUUUCAUUUUUCAAAAUAUUUUUUUUUUUUUUUUUGUUACAACUCAAUAUUUUUCUAAAAUUUUAUUUUUUUCAUUUUUAUGGCAAAUUUAUAUAUUUUUCCUUUUUUUGGCAAAAUUUUAUUUUUUUAAAUGUUUUGGCAAAAUUUUAUUUAUCCCCGGGUGAACAAGGGUGGGGUGUUAUUGACACCGGGGUAGUCA